GAUGAAGAACGCAGCGAAAUGCGAUAAGUAAUGUGAAUUGCAGAAUUCAGUGAAUCAUCGAAUCUUUGAACGCACAUUGCGCCCCUUGGUAUUCCGAGGGGCAUGCCUAUUCGAGCGUCAUUUGUACCUUCAAGCUCUGCUUGGUGUUGGGUGUUUGUCUCGCCUCUGCGUGUAGACUCGCCUCAAAACAAUUGGCAGCCGGCGUAUUGAUUUCGGAGCGCAGUACAUCUCGCGCUUUGCACUCAUAACGACGACGUCCAAAAGUACAUUUUUACACUCUUGACCUCGGAUCAGGUAGGGAUACCCGCUGAACUUAAGCAUAUCAAUAAGCGGAGGA
rnacentral:misc_RNA from 1 species